AACGUAGGUCCCGAGCGUUAUCCGGAUUUACUGGGCGUAAAGCGUGUUCAGGCGGUCUAGCAAGUCGGGCAUGAAAUCUCUCGGCUCAACCGGGAGGGGUUGUCCGAUACUGCUGGGCUUGAGGGCAGCAGAGGGUGGUGGAAUUCCGGGUGUAGCGGUGAAAUGCGUAGAUAUCCGGAGGAACACCAGUGGCGAAGGCGGCCACCUGGGCUGUACCUGACGCUCCAACACGAAAGCUAGGGGAGCGAACGGG
rnacentral:rRNA from 1 species